GGAUUCCCCUAGUAACUGCGAGUGAAGAGGGAAAAGCUCAAAUUUGUAAUCUGGCGGUCUUCGACUGUCCGAGUUGUAAUCUAGAGAAGUGCUACCUGCGCUGGACCAUGUACAAGUCUCCUGGAAUGGAGCAUCAUAGAGGGUGAGAAUCCCGUCUUUGACAUGGACUGCCAGAGCUUAUAGGUGUGCUCUCAAAGAGUCGAGUUGUUUGGGAAUGCAGCUCAAAAUGGGUGGUAAAUGCCAUCUAAAGCUAAAUAUUGGCGAGAGACCGAUAGCGAACAAGUACCGUGAGGGAAAGAUGAAAAGAACUUUGGAAAGAGAGUUAAACAGUACGUGAAAUUGCUGAAAGGGAAACGCUUGAAGUCAGUCGCAUCAGUUGGAAAUCAACCUUGCUUUUGCUGGGCGUACUUUCUGUCUGAUGGGUCAGCAUCAAUUUUGAUUGCUGGAUAAAGUUCUCGGGAAUGUGGCAUCUUUGGAUGUGUUAUAGCCCUUGGACAUAUACAGUGGUUGGGAUUGAGGAACUCAGCACGCCGAAAGGCUGGGCUUGUCUACACUACGUGCUUAGGAUGCUGGCAUAAUGGCUUUAAUCGACCCGUCUUGAAACACGGACCAAGGAGUCUAACAUACUUGCAAGUGUUUGAGUGGAAAACUCAUGCGCGUAAUGAAAGUGAUAGUUGAGAUCCCUGUCAUGGGGAGCAUCGAUGCCCAGACCAGAUCUUUUGUGACGGAUCUGCGGUAGAGCAUGUAUGUUGGGACCCGAAAGAUGGUGAACUAUGCCUGAAUAGGGUGAAGCCAGAGGAAACUCUGGUGGAGGCUCGUAGCGAUUCUGACGUGCAAAUCGAUCGUCAAAUUUGGGUAUAGGGGCGAAAGACUAAUCGAACCAUCUAGUAGCUGGUUCCUGCCGA
rnacentral:rRNA from 1 species